AUUGGGACUGAGAUACGGCCCAGACUCCUACGGGAGGCAGCAGUGGGGAAUAUUGCACAAUGGGCGCAAGCCUGAUGCAGCGACGCCGCGUGCGGGAUGACGGCCUUCGGGUUGUAAACCGCUUUUGUUGGGGAGCAAGCCUUCGGGUGAGUGUACCCUUCGAAUAAGCACCGGCUAACUACGUGCCAGCAGCCGCGGUAAUACGUAGGGUGCAAGCGUUAUCCGGAAUUAUUGGGCGUAAAGAGCUCGUAGGCGGUUCGUCGCGUCCGGUGUGAAAGUCCAUCGCUUAACGGUGGAUCCGCGCCGGGUACGGGCGGGCUUGAGUGCGGUAGGGGAGACUGGAAUUCCCGGUGUAACGGUGGAAUGUGUAGAUAUCGGGAAGAACACCAAUGGCGAAGGCAGGUCUCUGGGCCGUCACUGACGCUGAGGAGCGAAAGCGUGGGGAGCGAACAGGAUUAGAUACCCUGGUAGUCCACGCCGUAAACGGUGGAUGCUGGAUGUGGGGACCAUUCCACGGUCUCCGUGUCGGAGCCAACGCGUUAAGCAUCCCGCCUGGGGAGUACGGCCGCAAGGCUAAAACUCAAAGAAAUUGACGGGGGCCCGCACAAGCGGCGGAGCAUGCGGAUUAAUUCGAUGCAACGCGAAGAACCUUACCUGGGCUUGACAUGUUCCCGACAGCCCCAGAGAUGGGGCCUCCCUUCGGGGCGGGUUCACAGGUGGUGCAUGGUCGUCGUCAGCUCGUGUCGUGAGAUGUUGGGUUAAGUCCCGCAACGAGCGCAACCCUCGCCCUGUGUUGCCAGCACGUCGUGGUGGGAACUCACGGGGGACCGCCGGGGUCAACUCGGAGGAAGGUGGGGAUGACGUCAGAUCAUCAUGCCCCUUACGUCCAGGGCUUCACGCAUGCUACAAUGGCCGGUACAACGGGAUGCGACACCGCGAGGUGGAGCGGAUCCCUUAAAACCGGUCUCAGUUCGGAUUGGAGUCUGCAACCCGACUCCAUGAAGGCGGAGUCGCUAGUAAUCGCGGAUCAGCAACGCCGCGGUGAAUGCGUUCCCGGGCCUUGUACACACCGCCCGUCAAGUCAUGAAAGUGGGUAGCACCCGAAGCCGGUGGCCCAACCAGUUCGCUGGGGGGAGCCGUCUAAGGUGAGACCGGAAGGUGCGGCUGGAUCACCUCCU
rnacentral:rRNA from 1 species